rnacentral:lncRNA from 1 species
CCAACCCUGAUGACACCUUGAUCUUGGACUUCACAGCCUCCAGAACUAACAUACUCAAGUGUCUCAGCUCAACAUUUGGAGAUGAGCCAUCCUCCUCUUAUUGUAAGAAAAGCUUGAAGGAGUAUUUUCACAGCGAUGGAACUGGAAGUUAAGGCAACUUCUAUCAGCAUCAAGAAAAGAAAAGAAGUAUUCACCACUUACGAAACAACAUCUCUCUUCUCAUCAAUAGUUUGAUUUACAGCAUCUACUGCAGAAGACCUCAAUAAUGCAUAAGAACAUCUGGAAGUACGGUAAUUUCAGCUAUCAGAGAUAAGAAUUGACACAGAACAGUUUCCUCACUGGAGAAAAUAAGCCUGGUUAUUUUUUGGCCUAUGUUGAAACAUCAUAAGUAGAAUGAAACAGCAUAAUUUUUUCCCCCUGGGGUUCAAGAGUUUAUUUCUUUUGAUACAACAAUAAAUCAACUGACGAAAUGGAAUUUCUUUGCAAUACAUAUGCAACAAGUUAGUUUGCAUGGACAAGUUGAGCUUCAGUUUAUAUAUAGACACUCUGGAACAUUUUAUUAUAAAGCAAUAGUGCUGGAAAGCCACUUAAAGGGGUAACUGCACCAGUAACUAUGAGAAGGAGAUAUAUGAUUAACCUAGUAGAACUUAAAAAGUGAUUUCUGCAGCUUUGAAAUCAUCUACACAUGAACUCAAGCAGCAAUACGUAUUGGCAUCUGGAAAUCUGCAGAUUUGGAUGCACAAACAAUUAGACAUAAGACACAGCAUAAUGAAGUAUUUGUUUUCAUAGAGGAUCAUAGAAAUUCAUAAACAGAGGAUGAAGAAACACAGAAGACAGAGGAAGGAUUUAGUUUUGGGAACAUGUGCUAAUGGCCAUCAAACAAUUCUGAAAUAACUGAAAGAGAACCUUUGAAACACCCUUUAGAUUAAGAGCCUGGCUUGUAAUCUGUAACAACAAACGGUAUUACAAUGAGGGGCUUCCUGCUUUGCUUGACACCCAUCCUCUCUCCUGCUUCCCUGUGAAGAGGUGCCUUCUGCCAUGAUUGCUGAGGCCUUCCCAUCCAUGUGGAACUGUGAGUCAAUUAAACCUUUUUCCUUAUAAAUUACCCAGUCUCAAGUGUUUCUUCAUAGCAAUGUGAAAACAAACUAAUAUAACUACUACAAAUAUAAGAUUUAGUAAAAAUAGUAGAUAGCAACAUACUGAACUUAUAAUGUUUCCAUUCAUAUAAAGCUAAAAACUAUGCAAAAAUAAACCAUAUUUAUUUAGAAAUGCAUCCAUAUGUUGUUAAAAUGUUUAAAGGCAAAUUAAUUGUGAAUACUAUAUUCAGAAUAGUGAUUUUCUCAGGGAGUGCAAUUUUAUUACAACGUCUUGCAAGCCAAUGUACUAUUACUGUUAUAAUUCUUGAACAAGGUGUUUUCUGUAUGAAUAUUUAGCUCAAUAUCAUUCUUUGUAUUUCACAUGAACAUUAUAUAUUUUUAUAUGCAUGAAUUUUGCAUAAUAAAAUUAUUUCUAAAACAAAGCCGAAAAGAAUACAUAUUUGCAUUUGAAUACUUAGUCUAAGGAUUAAAAAAAGGUAUUGUUUUAUAUAAAGCUGAAAUAAAUAUACUCUAUGGAGACAUAUUACUUUCAUUUCUUAUAUUUAAGAACUGAAAAAUUAUACACACCUACUGGAAAUAAAAAUAAAGAUAACAUGAAAAACCAAAUAUAUGAUGCCACUGGCCUUUUCUUUGUAACUAAAUUUAUUUAGACAAAAGCAUAAAUACUACCUGUGGAGAAAUGUUUAGCAAUUCUAUAUCUAAUUAUGUUAUUGUCAUAUGUAAACACAAUGAAAAGACUUUAUAAACUAGGUUAAGUGUUAGAAACUAUAGUGUUUUCUAGGGGGUGGGACACACCUUAAAUUACCACUAUGAAACCGGCAAUUUAAAUGUGUGAUAUUGGCCUGAUAACUGGAUUUAGGCUCUGAUAGUUGGUACUAUAUUGGUCACAUAAAUUCUGUUUCACUUUAUCUUGUUUUGAACUCCAUCUAAAGUAGAAGAUUCCUUCAUCAAUUUUUUUUUGGUCUCUCUUAGAGUACACCCUGUGUUUUCAAAUGUACUCUGCUUGCUUAUUAAAUACAGGUUAAGCUUGGUUUCCAAUGUGGAGAAACAAAUUCUGGAAUAAAAGUUCAUUAAUCAAUAGAAUGGCCUUUUCACAUCUACCCCCUCCCCAACAGUAAUCCCAUAGCUUUACAUAGCACCAAUAUGAAAACAAAAUGAAACGGUGCCAGAAUAAAAGCUUCAAUAUUUACUAAUUUGCCACUAGAAUAGUAUACUUACCAGUCUGACUGAGAUUUUAAAUAAAUUAAAUAUUGUUAUUCAGUCUGAAUUCUUAAAACAGUGGAAAGCAAUGAAAAAAAUAAAGAAAGUUACUUACAACAUAUUAUACAGCUGAUCUUUGAACAGCAUUAGGAUUAGGAGUGCCAACCCUCUACACAGUUGAAAAUCUAUAUAACUUCUGACUCCUCCAAAACGUAACUACUAGUUGCUUACUGUUGACCUGGAAGCCUUAUAGAUACCAUGAACAGUCAAUUAACACAUAUUUUGGAUGUUAUAGGUACAUAUACUGUAUUCCUAUAAUAAAGUAAGCUAGAGAAAAGAAAAUGUUAUUUAAAAAUCAUUUGUAAAAUACACUUGUCAUGUCAGGUAUGGCAAAGGGCAAAGAAAAUUCAUGUAUAGAUGAACCCACAUGGGUCACACCCAUGUUGUAUAAGGGUCACUUGUACUUCUUGAAUCUGAGUAUUCAACUCUUUCAAAUACUUUGGUAAAUUCUCACCUGUUACCCGGAAGCAUUGCCUCCCACCAUUCUCUGUAUUUUCCCUUUAUACUUUUAGACAUAUAUUGUAUUUCUGUUGGGCAUAUAUUAUUUUUUCUUAUUUUACCAUC